GUUAAAGUGGCCGAGAAUUAUAGGCAACGGUCUGUAAAACCGUACACGGAUUUCAUCCCUUUAAUA
rnacentral:tRNA from 1 species